rnacentral:rRNA from 1 species
GAUGAACGCUGGCGGCGUGCUUAACACAUGCAAGUCGAACGUGAGGGUGCAGCGAUGUGCCUGAAAGUGGCGAACGGGUGAGUAACACGUAGAUGACCUGCCCUGGAGUGGGGGAUAACCAUUGGAAACGGUGGCUAAUACCGCAUACAUCCGGAGAACUGGGAAGUUUUCUGGGGAAAGCUCUGGUGCUUCAGGAGGGGUCUGCGUCCGAUUAGCUAGUUGGUGGGGUAAAGGCUCACCAAGGCGACGAUCGGUAGCUGGUCUGAGAGGACGAUCAGCCACACGGGAACUGAGACACGGUCCCGACUCCUACGGGGGGCAGCAGUGAGGAAUAUUGGGCAAUGGGCGGAAGCCUGACCCAGCAACGCCGCGUGGAGGAAGACGGCCUUGGGUUGUAAACUAGCUUUAUAUGUGACGAAUAUGACGGUAGCAUAUGAAUAGGGAUCGGCUAACUCCGUGCCAGCAGCCGCGGUAA